rnacentral:rRNA from 1 species
UUGUCUCAAAGAUUAAGCCAUGCAUGUCUCAGUACAAGCCAAAUUAAGGUGAAACCGCGAAAGGCUCAUUAAAUCAGUUAUGGUUCCUUAGAUCGUACACACAUUUACUUGGAUAACUGUGGUAAUUCUAGAGCUAAUACAUGCAAACAGAGCUCCGAACCAGAGAUGGAAGGAGCGCUUUUAUUAGAUCAAAACCAAUCGGUGGCGAGUGAAAGCUCGUCAUCGUACAAUUUGGUGACUCUGAAUAACUUUAUGCUGAUCGCAUGGUCUUUGCACCGGCGACGCAUCUUUCAAAUGUCUGCCUUAUCAACUGUCGAUGGUAGGUUCUGCGCCUACCAUGGUUGUAACGGGUAACGGGGAAUCAGGGUUCGAUUCCGGAGAGGGAGCCUGAGAAACGGCUACCACAUCCAAGGAAGGCAGCAGGCGCGCAAAUUACCCACUCCCGGCACGGGGAGGUAGUGACGAAAAAUAACGAUACAAGACUCAUCCGAGGCCUUGUAAUCGGAAUGAGUACACUCUAAAGCCUUUAACGAGGAUCAAUUGGAGGGCAAGUCUGGUGCCAGCAGCCGCGGUAAUUCCAGCUCCAAUAGCGUAUAUUAAAGUUGUUGCGGUUAAAAAGCUCGUAGUCGAAUCUGUGUUCCACGCCGCCGGUUCAUCGUCCGCGGUGUUAACUGGCGUGCCGUGGAACGUCCUGCCGGUGGGCUUAGCUCGCAAGGGCGGCCCAAUUUAAUCCUGUCGCGGUGCUCUUCAUUGAGUGUCGAGAUGGGCCGGCACGUUUACUUUGAACAAAUUAGAGUGCUUAAAGCAGGCUAAAAUUUUGCCUGAAUAUUGUGUGCAUGGAAUAAUGGAAUAGGACCUCGGUUCUAUUUUGUUGGUUUUCGGAACCCCGAGGUAAUGAUUAAUAGGAACGGAUGGGGGCAUUCGUAUUGCGACGUUAGAGGUGAAAUUCUUGGAUCGUCGCAAGACGGACAGAAGCGAAAGCAUUUGCCAAAAACGUUUUCAUUGAUCAAGAACGAAAGUUAGAGGUUCGAAGGCGAUCAGAUACCGCCCUAGUUCUAACCAUAAACGAUGCCAGCUAGCGAUCCGCCGACGUUCCUCCGAUGACUCGGCGGGCAGCUUCCGGGAAACCAAAGCUUUUGGGUUCCGGGGGAAGUAUGGUUGCAAAGCUGAAACUUAAAGGAAUUGACGGAAGGGCACCACCAGGAGUGGAGCCUGCGGCUUAAUUUGACUCAACACGGGAAACCUCACCAGGCCCGGACACCGGAAGGAUUGACAGAUUGAGAGCUCUUUCUUGAUUCGGUGGGUGGUGGUGCAUGGCCGUUCUUAGUUGGUGGAGCGAUUUGUCUGGUUAAUUCCGAUAACGAACGAGACUCUAGCCUGCUAAAUAGGCGUAUUUCGACAUCCCAAAGGCUCACCCUCGUGCUAUGUUGGCGCAUGUGGUCUUCACGGGCUAUGUGUGUUGGCUGGUGCGUUGGGCGCGGUUUUUACUGUCGGCGUAUUAACUAAUCUUCUUAGAGGGACAGGCGGCUUCUAGCCGCACGAGAUUGAGCAAUAACAGGUCUGUGAUGCCCUUAUAUGUUCUGGGCCGCACGCGCGCUACACUGAAGGAAUCAGCGUGUCCUCCCUGACCGAACGGUCCGGGUAACCCGCUGAACCUCCUUCGUGCUAGGGAUUGGGGCUUGCAAUUGUUCCCCAUGAACGAGGAAUUCCCAGUAAGCGUGAGUCAUAAGCUCGCGUUGAUUACGUCCCUGCCCUUUGUACACACCGCCCGUCGCUACUACCGAUUGAAUGAUUUAGUGAGGUCUUCGGACUGGUACGCGUUGGCGCUCCGGCGUUGACGAUGUUGCUGGGAAGAUGACCAAACUUGAUCAUUU